GCGGACGGCUGAGUAAUACGUAGGAAUGUACCCCAAACUGAGGGAUAACUGCCCGAAAGGGUGGCUAAUACCGCAUGUGCUCUUCGGAGUAAAGCUUCGGCGGUUUGGGAACAGCCUGCGUCCGAUUAGCUUGUUGGUGAGGUAAUGGCUCACCAAGGCGACGAUCGGUAGCUGGUCUGAGAGGAUGAUCAGCCAGACUGGGACUGAGACACGGCCCAGACUCCUACGGGAGGCAGCAGCAGGGAAUUUUCCACAAUGGGGGCAACCCUGAUGGAGCAGCGCCGCGUGCAGGAUGAAGGCCUUCGGGUUGUAAACUGCUUUUAAGAGCGAAGAUUAUGACGGUAGCUCUUGAAUAAGGAUUGGCUAACUCCGUGCCAGCAGCCGCGGUCAUACGGAGGAUCCAAGCGUUAUCCGGAAUUACUGGGCGUAAAGAGUUGCGUAGGUGGCAGAGUAAGUUGGUAGUGAAAGCGUACAGCUCAACUGUAUAUCCAUUACCAAAACCGCUCAGCUAGAGGACGAGAGAGGUAGAUGGAAUUCCUAGUGUAGGGGUAAAAUCCGUUGAUAUUAGGAGGAACACCGAUGGCGUAAGCAGUCUACUGGCUCGUUCCUGACACUCAGGCACGAAAGCGUGGGGAGCAAACGGGAUUAGAUACCCCGGUAGUCCACGCCGUAAACUAUGGAUGCUAGCUGUUAUGGGUAUCGACCCCCGUAGUAGCGAAGCUAACGCGUUAAGCAUCCCGCCUGUGGAGUACGGUCGCAAGACUAAAACAUAAAGGAAUUGACGGGGACCCGCAC
rnacentral:rRNA from 1 species